UACGUAGGGUGCAAGCGUUGUCCGGAUUUAUUGGGCGUAAAGAGCUCGUAGGCGGUUUGUCGCGUCGGAUGUGAAAACCCAGGGCUCAACCCUGGGCCUGCAUUCGAUACGGGCAAACUAGAGUAUGGCAGGGGAGAAUGGAAUUCCCGGUGUAGCGGUGAAAUGCGCAGAUAUCGGGAGGAACACCGGUGGCGAAGGCGGUUCUCUGGGCCUUACCUGACGCUGAGGAGCGAAAGCGUGGGGAGCGAACAGG
rnacentral:rRNA from 1 species